AUGGUGAUGGUGAGCGUGCAGCAGAGCCCCAUGGUGCGGUCGGAGGAGGACCUGGGCCCGCCGUGGCUGCGGCCGCUGCUGGGCACGAGCUUCUUCGUGCCCUGCCCGGCGCACCCGGACCUGAGCAAGAACGAGUGCAACCUCUUCUGCCUCGGCUGCAACCACGCCGCCGGCGCCCUCUGCUCCUACUGCGUCCCGGCGCACCGCGACCACCACGUCGUCCAGAUACGUCGUUCGUCGUACCACAACGUGAUCCGGGUGUCGGAGGUGGGGAAGCUGAUCGACAUCGCGCACGUGCAGACGUACGUGAUCAACAGCGCUAAGAUCGUGUUCCUCAACGGCCGGCCGCAGGCCAGGCCCGGCAAGGGCGUCACCAACACCUGCGAGAUCUGCUGCCGCAGCCUCCCGGACUCGUUCCGCUUCUGCUCCCUCGGAUGCAAGCUCGGGGGGAUGCAGUGGGACCCGACCCUGACAUUCGCCAUCCGGCCGAAGCGUAGCCAGGACUCCGGCGGAGAAGGGUACGGCUCCGACGACGACUCGUUCAGCCCGAGGAAGCAGCUCCGGAGGGCCGGGUUCGAGCUCGGGCGGUUCGACCGGGGUGUCCGGUGGUCUGAUGAUGAGGGCAGCAAGUCCAACACCCGUCCGAUGACGCCGACCACGCCACCGAUCAGCCGGUGCCGGCCGUCCAGGAGGAAGGGCAUCCCCCACCGCGCCCCGUUCUACGGUUAG
rnacentral:rRNA from 1 species